GUUGAGUUACUUUUGACUUGCUAACAAGCUACACAAAAUACUUAUUGGUUGAAUAAAGCUUUUAAAUUUACUUAUUGGACCUGUGAAAAGUUAAGUUUCUUGUUAAAACUAAUUAACCUGGUAAAAUAUAAAGUGGUAAUACAGACAUUUUUGAGCAAAAUUCUAAACCUCAGUAUCUUCACACAUAUUGGUAAAAUAACUAUGUCUUAAAUAUAUACACAUGGCCAAAAUUUAAAAUGUAUAUCAAGAAAUCUCUGUGUCUGUUUGUGUCUGCUUUUGUGUUUUUGUUUUGUUUUGUUUUUUACCUCCGGAGGACUAAUCAUAAACGGCGCCUAUAUAAGUUCUCAUAAAAACAAAUUUUAAAAUCAUGAGCAAAAAUUUUUGAUAUACAAGAACUAGUUCAAGUUUUAUCAUAAAAUUCAAAGCAUAUAUGCAUUAAAGUUAUGUUAAAUAUUAACAAUUUACUGUUUAAAUGUAUCUUUAAAGUGUUUUUCUUUUCUUGACUAAAAAAGUGUGUGUGUGUGUAUAUAUAUAUAUAUAUACUUACAUAUGUAAAUUUUUUGUCAUAUUAACAUUAUCAAGUAAAACUAAGCUAUACUGUUUUUAAGUCAAUUUUAAAAAACUGCAAUGUUUAAAGUAGUAUUUUGGGGUGACAAACACACAAAACACCUCCUUGUGUUCUGGAUUACUAAAAAGAAACCACUAUCAUGAUUUGUUAAAAGUUUUAGUAAUGUCUAUUUAAAAAAAAAAAAAAAGCAAUUAAGGAAUUGUUAGACACCGUGCUGAUGUUACUUGCAUAGCAGGGCAUAAUUAGCCUAACACCUGGCCCACAAAAGCCACGCCCUUUACUUUGGUUGGACUGGGAUCAGCACAAAAUGUGGCAAAAAGUUCUCAAAUUUUAAAUAAAAAUAAUGGACAGGUGUCCGGGACUUCUCAACCUUAUUUUAUUCCUUCCCUUUCUAUGACAUUAUGGGGAAGAGCUGUGUUAUCGCAAAUAGAAACAUUAAUUUUCAGCCCUAAUAAUAUAGUUACAUCACAAAUGUUGCAAAUGGGCUUUCACCCUGACCAAGGGUUAAAAAAAAAAUCUUUAUGGGAAAACAACUCCAAUUGAGCCAGUUCCCAGAAGCGCUAAGGCCGGUAUGGGGUACGGUCAAAAUUUAACCUAGGGGCCAUUGCUCAAGUUGCAGCCGACCCAGUCACCUGGAAAGAUAAUAAACCAGUGUGGGUUGAGCAGUGGCCUCUUACAGAAGAAAAAAAUACAGGUUGUAACAAACCUAAUACAGGAUCAAUUAAUACAGAUCAAUUAAUUUUAGGACCAUGAAAUACCCCAAUUUUUAUUGUUAAAAAAAUCAGGAAAAUGGAGACUGUUACAGGAUUUAAGAGCAAUAAAUGUUACUAUGCAAGAUAUGGAAUGCUUGCAACCAGGCUUACCAUCACCUGUGGCCAUCCCUAAAGAUGAACAUGUUAUUGUUAUUGAUUUGCAAAAUUGCUUUUUUACCAUCCCUUUACAUCCCCAAGACUGUAAAAGAUUUGCAUUUAGUGUCCCAUCAGUAAAUUUUAAAAGGCUGUUUCAAUAGGAUGAAUAGAAAGUUCUCCCUCAGGGCAUGAAAAACAGUCCGACUUGAUGUCAAAAAUUUGUGGAUAUGGUUUUGUCAUCCUUUAGGGAUGAGUACCCUUCCAUUUACUGUGUUCAUUACAGUAAAGGGAAUGUCAACAAUUAAUAGACAUUGGGAUCCUGACCAACUGGACUCUAAACCUCAAGCUAUGUGGAAAAAUCUCAUUUCUGGAACAUGGAAAGGCCCUAAUGUGUUAUUAACAAAUGGGAGAGGCUAUGCUUAUAUCUUUCCACAGAAUUCAAAUGGCCCAAUUUGGAUUCCUGACAGACUGAUCCGACACCAUGUUUCAAAAGCCUUCACCGACACAUCGCCCCAAGAUGCAUAGGUGCAGCCCUCUGGGACCCUAUCCACCUCCUCCAAGAUGCCAUUGCUCCAGAUCCCCUGCUGGAAGAUCAUCAUCUUCCCUGCACCACCUUCGGGUUUGUAAGACGUCUUAUCAUGACAAUUAAAAUCUGCUCAGAAACCUAACCUCUAAUGCUCGACAGCUACUUGUACAGCAAGAUGCACACAUCAUCCUGGAUCCCCUCUUUCUCUAUCCCACUCCUUGGGGAUUUCCCUCGCCCAGUGUGUUCACUAAUUAUUCUGAUUUACUAGGUGACGAUUCAUACUCUUUUGUUUUGUUUAUAAGCACUAAUAACUUUUCUUUUCAGGGAUGCAUGAAUUCUCCUCCUAUGUGUUUUACAUCUAAUCUUGACUAUAUAAAGUCUCAACUACCUGGCUGCCUACCUAUUGAUGACAAGUAUUUUUAAACAGGAUCUCCAAAAGCCUUCCUCCUCCGGACCUAACCGUGAUUUAUGGUGCUUGGAGCAGGUACAUCCGCCACUAAUGUCCCCGAGGACUAUAGGUUUCUCCUGCAGGACGCUCUCAUCUACAACCGGUCGAAUCACUUCAUUCCACCUCUGGAACCUGUCACCCGGUGGUAUUCAGCGGGAUGGAUUACUCCCGCCUACAUUGUCAACACUUCAAAUGGUUCCCGUGCAUACCCGGACUUGUUUCACCUCCUUGCCGCCACUUCACCUGUGCGUUUUCGCCGACCUGGACAUUCUGUUAAUGCUUCCACCGUAGGGGCUUGUGUGGGCCCCCCUUAUACCCUCCUUGUUGAGGGCCCCAGACUAUUAACCAUUACUUAUCAUCACCAUAUUUUUCAUGUUAAUUGUACUGACUGCAUUCUCACCAACUGUAUUACCUCUGUUGGCUCAUUGUCUAAAGCUACUUUUGUUAUCUUACAUCAACCUCCUUAUGUCAUGCUCCCUGUAAGCUUACAACAGCCGUGGUAUGAUGACAUUGGACUGUAUACUCUUCAGCUUGUGGGACAGGGACUGCGUCGCUCCAAAAGGUUUGUAGCGGCACUUAUACUGGGUAUUACGGCACUUAUUGCUAUUAUUAGUUCUGUUGCUGUUUCUACUACUACUCUCGUGCAACAAGUUCACACUGCCUCCCAUGUUAAUGAUUUGUCUCGUAACAUCACACACGCUUUAAUUAUCCAAGACCACAUUGAUAAUAAGUUUAAAGCUCGUUUAAAUGUUCUUGAGAAAUCACUUUUACAUAUUGGCAAUCAAAUUCAACACAUAAAAACACAUUUGACUACCAAAUGUCUUUCUGAUUACAAAUAAAUUUGUGUCACUUCACAUGUUUAUAACUCUUCUUCUGUUUCUUAAAAUAAUGUCAAAAAUCAUUUACUGGGUGUUUGAAAUAAUACAAACGUUUCCCUGGACCUUACUGCUCUGCAAAAAAAUAUUAAGGCAAUUAGUUUAGCUCAUGCCCCCUCCUCCACACCUGCAGAAGUUGCUGCUUCCUUCCUGGCUUCCUUGCAACAUUAUACCACUAAGGCCGCCUGGUUCCCAUCAUUUAUUACUUUAGGUGUUGUUUUGCUUGUCACCAUAAUUAUAUUGAUACUCUUCCCAUUGUUUAUUAAAUUGCUUUUCUGUGCUAUCAAUCAGACACGUGUUGAAUUACAAACUAUGCAAAUGAUGGCCAAAAACAAAAAAGGGGGAGGUGCUGCAGGAGGCCUUGAUGCCCCAGCCAGAUAAGACACUGGCAAGCAGCGAAGCCCAAAGGGCCUCACACCGUGGGGCUGAAGAUUCCUUGUGCCUCACACCGUGAGGUUGAAGAUGUAACAUUCCUUCACUUUCUGUUCUUGGUCAUAAAUAAGAAAAAAUUUCCCAAAAAAGUACAUUAGGCACUAUAUUAUAUGCAUCAGUAUAUUGCAAAUAAACGGCAUGGAAAAUUAGAAACUAAUUAUUAAACAAUUUGGCCUACUUGACAAUGAAAGACAACUUAUUGAAUAUGCCUGACAAGCAUUACAAUACAAUAAUCAUAGCAGGUCCUUCUAUUUUGUUUUCUCUUGAAGUUUCUUGGGAAAGUUUUUAAUAUGAAACUAUUUGAGUUAAGGAAUUUCUAGGUAGAAAAAGUUCUGAUAGCUGAACUGCAGCUGGUCUCCGGCUGAAGGUCAUAUGAAUAAAAAUAGUCCUUUGAUGCUUAGGCUUUAGCUGAUAGGGAUGCACUGGCGGUUAUUCACUGUUUUAAAUAAUUGUCUGAAUGAAAAAAUAAGUAGCUUUAAUGUUAGGUUUGGUUUAUUAUCUGUUAACCUUGAAAGCUGUCGUCUAGCUGAGACCCGUAGGGGCCAGUAGUCUAUGGAAAACAUAAUAUACUAAUUGUUUAUGCUU